rnacentral:lncRNA from 10 species
UUGCAGAGGAAAGCCAAGGUGAAAUUCCCAAAAUAAGGGGAAAUGGAUCCCGGACAAGUAAAGGCAAUAGAUGCUCACCACGCCCUUGCUCCUCAGGAUGAGGUUCACAGAACAGCAGCAUCAGAAUCACACAGGAGAGGCUCAGAAAUGCAAAGUCUCAGGCCACGUCCUAGGCGAACUGAGUCAGAACCCACCCCACAGCAAAGUCUGCCGGUGAGUCACCUACCCAUCAAAGUCUCAAAAGUGCUGUGCUGCAUAUUAACUUUUUCAGUUACUUAGACAAUUUUUUAAGUUCUGUUUUAUUGAGAACCACAAAAGGUAAGAACUAAGAGAGUCCUCCCAGGUCAUCAGGUCCCAUCCCUUGGUCUAAGGAUGGUGAAACCAUUGUCACAGCCAGCAGCUGCCGUGUUCUGGGACUGUCUCAUGGGGCAAUGUGUCCUCACCCCCAGCAGUGCCAGCCCAGGUCAGAAGGCUUCAUUCAGAAGGGGGGUGUCACAGCACCUGGCUGAGCCCCCAUGGAGGAUGGAGACCCACAGAUACACACAAACACACAGAGACAUCUCCAAAUCUCUGACUCAGACUCGCACACAGGCACACACAGACGCACGCUCAACACAGACACACGCAGGCCUUUAUUCUAUUACACAGAGUAGGGCUGGGGAGCAGGGAUGUAGUGCGGCUCGGAGCAGUGGGAGUUUGGUGGCGUGUGUGGAGGGGACAUGACACACUAGGCCCAGC